AAUGGAGGCGAUACCGUGAAUCGUGACGUCACGUUUGAAAAAUGACGCUUCUUUUUCGCUUUGAGUUGCCACGCACGUGCCUGACAAGUAGUUACAAGUUCGCUUCAACUGAUACCGGCAAAUAAUCGCGCUUGCGCUCAAACCACAGCACUUUGUUAAAUAUGAAAGAUCCUAUAGACAAAUGCAAUACUAAUCGAAGUAUUUCUCAGAAUUAUCCCACUCGUGCUGUGCGUUGGGAUUUAGAGCUUGGUGAUCACGUAUAAUAAGAGCCGGAAAUCGUGAGUCGCAAGACGCAGAUGAAAAUCGCCCGGCGAACCGGGCGCUGCAGCAUUUUGCAAUUGUUGUGAAAGAUAUUGUAACGGUUGAAAAAUAAGUCUCGGACAAUACAAGCUUUCAUCUCUGAUUUAUCGCUUCACGUUUAUAUCCAUGGAUAUAUCAUCGAUGAGCGUAUAGGUGCGCCUAAUUUCAACGUCUACCAGACGCCUUGCUUGGUGCAGAGACUGGGAGGAUAAAUAAGAACGAUCAAGAUGGGGGGGAUGUUGAGCGCGAACCCUGAUGAUUCUCAAAAGAGCGAUGAAGAUGAUUAUCCUCAUUGUGCCGAUGAGCCAAUGUGUGAAACAUUGAAAAGAAUAAAUCGUGGCGAUUCAUUCGAGGAGAAGCACAUAAAACUACUCGGUGAACAGUUGAUAACAAAUUUUGGAGAGUUUAAAGUCGAACCAAAAAACCGACUAACAGUUCUAACGAACUUGGAAGAACUGAAGAUAGUAUGGAACAAAAUCAAAUUACCGAAAUUUAAAAUAUUACCAUUUUUCAUCAUCCUACGCGAAACAAACAACAACCAAUGGAAUUUGAUAACCCUUACCAGAAUGGACGACAGACUGGUUAUUAUGUAUAACAAUUCUUUUGGUAAUAAUUUAUCGAAAGAAAUAAGAGAAAUCGUAUCAGAAAAUGCUUCAGUCAGGCUUGAAAGUAAUAUAACAAAUAUAUCAAGGAACGAUUUAUGCAGCGGUAUGAUAGCCUUGCGAAAUAUGGAAAUCGUCAUCGAAGGACUUCUGAGCAACGGUGAAGAUUUUAUCCGUAAUUUUUCGCGGACGCAAUUCUACGAGAAGAGUAACGAGGCCAAUAUGAAGACGAAAUUUUUGUCAAACAUGGAAAAAGGUUACAUCGAGUCGUCGAAAUCUCUUGCUAAGGAGCUAGUGGGUGAAGAGGAUUAUGAAAAUUUUCGAAUCGCGGCUGAAAAGUUCCUGGAGAAAUGUCUGAGUUUCGAAAGCCCAGUGUUCAAAAAAUGGAAGCUUUACCACGAACUCAUGGAAGCUGAAGCAUUGAAGAAAGAAAAUAAUCCGGGAUAUGAAUCGGACGAUGAAACUUUGAAUAAAAUAAAAGCGGCGAAAUUAAGUGUGAUGGAUGAUCCUUUGAUAAAGGAAUUAAUUGACAAGGGGAGAAGUUUGACGGGAAAACUUUGGGACGAUAAUUCACCCGGUAUGAUUGGAUCCGAAGAGCUGGAAAUACAAAGAGAUUUCGGUGAUCAAAUGAAAAAGUUCACCAAAAUCUGCCACUUUUUGAGCCACGUUACGUCACGGAGAAAAAACGCUCUCAAUGAGGUCAGUAAGAUUUUGAGAAUUAAAGCAGAAAAAUUGACAGUCUUCAGCCCGGUUAAUACGCAGAAAUCAAGUAAAAAACAAACAAGUGUCCAAGAAGGGAUGAACUCCUCUCACCCCAACAAUGGAUCAAAAAAAGCAACCUUGGAAGACCUUCUUCGAGACUUUCCACCUCAGGUUAGUAUGGAAGAAGAACCUGGUGGCCCCAUUCGAAGUCUUGAGGAAGUAAUUUCCAAAAUUAAUCCCGAAAGUUGGGACGAUAUGAACGAAAACGACGAUGAUUCGAGAACCAAUUACCGGGAUUACAACGAGCAAGAGCGAUCUGAACUCCGUAAAAAUUACGACAAAGUUAUGAAUUCUUUCAAAAAGUGGGAACACAAAAGUGUGUCUGACAUAAAUAGAUGGGCUAGAGAUAACAGAGGAAGGGUUAAAGGUCAGAACGCAUGUUUCGAAGCCAUCGCUAUAAUGGACAGAGCAAAUCAAUUGGUUACCGGAGGUCAUCGUCUUCGAGUUCCCCAAAUUGUCACGCUACUAAUUUUUCUACGCCAAAAGGAUGAUCGUGGAUUUUUCAGCCAAGUACAAUCAGGAGAAGGAAAAACUGUGAUAGUAUCUCUUUUAGCUGUGAUUCGGAUCCUUCAGGGUGAAAAAUUCGUCGAUGUUAUAACAAGUAACGACGUUUUAGCCGCAGCUGCGGUUGAAAAUAGAAAGCAAUUCUACGCUGUUUUCGAAAUUACUGUCGAUGAAAACAACGAAGACCCUUUUACUCCACAUGGUAUGGGACCUCGUGAUUGUUACAAAGCUGACGUUGUAUACGGCGACGUAUCAAACUUCCAAGGUGAUUAUGUGUCCGACGUAUUUAUGGUGUCAGACGCAAGAUCUGGAAGAGAAUUCGGAUACCUUAUUUUCGACGAAGUUGAUAACAUGUUGAUCGACGAAGGCUCGCAGGUAACAAAACUUGGUUCCGCAUUUCCUGGAAUGGAGAGUCUGAGGCACGUUUAUAUCAAAAUAUGGAAGGAACUUUUGAAAGCUGAAAGAGUCCUGCUGGAAGAAUUCAAUAAAAUAAUAACAGAUGAGAUGAAGCAACUACUUGAACAAGCCAGAACGCUUACCGAGGAACAAAUGAAGGCGCGCAUUCUCCACACGGAGGUCGAUUUUACUCUCAAGAUCCCUAAGAGAAUUAAAGAUAUGAUAAAGAAAAGUAGACCGACCGAAGUUAGCUUAAUACCGGACCACCUAAAAUCAUUCGUCGACGAAAGCGUUGAUACUUGGAUAUCGUCGGCUAUAAAUGCGAAAUAUUGGUUUCUCGAAAACCAAGACUAUAUCAUAAAGAAUAACAGAGUCACACCUGUGGAUUAUACGAACACUGGGAUGACCGAGGACAGGAGAGUAUGGGAAAACGGACUUCAUCAAUUCCUCGAACUUAAACAUAAUGUUCAAUUGAACACUCAAACGAUAACAAGUUGCUUUAUUUCCUGCUACGGUUACGUAAGUAAAUAUAAAUCUAAAAUUCAAGGGUUAACUGGAACCCUUGGAACCUGCUUGGAACGGGAAUUUCUCACAACGAUGUACAACGUGGGAUUCGCUAGGAUUCCGACUUUCAGAGUCAGAGACUUUACAGAGUAUCCAGCACUGGUUUCGACCGAUGAAAAAUGGAGCGAGGAAAUAGCAUUGGCGAUUCUAUAUGAAAUUAGACACGGGCGAGCUGUUCUAGCGAUCUGUAAUUCGAUAUCAGACGUUCUUGAAGUCGAACGAAAGCUGAAAGAGCUUAGAGGAUACUUGAGUGAUGUUGAAUCCAAUGAUCCAAAAAUAUAUCGCGAUCAGGAGAACGCUCAUGUUACCAACGAAACCGUUGCUCCGGGUGACGUGAUCCUGGCCACAAAUAUAGCAGGACGAGGAUCCGACUUCAAAACAUCCCAGGAACUCGAAGACAAUGGUGGACUUCACGUGUGUGUUACAUUCUGUCCUAGAAAUGAGCGCAUCAAAAAUCAAGCUAUAUUCAGGACGUCGAGACAGGGAAAUAAAGGAUCAGCACAACUGAUAGUUCGGGAAAGUGAAAUAAGGUCACUGAAAAUAGCUACCAAAAUCCUUGACUUUAUCGACUUUAAACAAGUAAGAGCGGCAGUGGCGAAAAAAGAGAAAAAACGUUUGGCAAACAUCAAGCGACAUAUACUCGAGGACCUUAAAAUACGAGAUGCAUUGUUUCAAAAACUUUUGGAUCGCGUUGUAAAACCGCUACGUGCAAGAAACCGUAAAGACAGUGUUUUUCCUGUUGAAAUUUUGCUGUUGGACCUCAGCGAGAUCUGGGGGUUUUGGUUGAAAAAACAGAAAUUUAACACGGAAACCUUUUUGAACUCCGACGAACUAUUUAAACAAUUCUUAGCACUCGACAAAACGAAGGGAAUCAUGAAGGGAAAAGUUAUGCAAAAUCCUUUUAAUUGUUCGUUUGCCGCAGAGUUUUUCUUGGAACAUGGAACAGUUGAAAUAGCCGAAAAAAUUCUGAAACACGCGAUCAGCAUGACCAACAACAAGUUACGUUUAUACCCUGCAUACUUACAAUUGUUCGAAUGUAAAAUUGAAGGGGCACACGUCCUGAUGAGAAGAUUUGCCAAAGCCAUGGCCAAGAUCGUAGUCAUCGGCUUCUUUAUACCUGAUUGCGAUAGUUACUUCGACGGAAGUUACAAGCGAGACGCUCUUGAAUACUUGAAUAUAGCUCAAGAAGGAAUCACCGAGGAGUUGAAUUACUUCAAAACGAAUUAUUUGAACGACGAAGCAUCCGACGACUUUAAAAAAAUCAUUGUAAAAACUGACGGAGAAAAUUUAUUUCUAAAACAUUUUUUAUCCCGUGUAAUUUGCCUCGAUUUCCACCGUAGCAAUAUAGAGUUCUUAGCGAAAACUACCAAAAAAUGUCAAAGUAAAAACGGUCUCGCAAUCGCAAGUAGAAUUGCAAAUUUCUUAGGAAGAUCGGAUCAUACGAUCGAAGCGAUAAAAACGCUACAGAAACACAUAACGAAAAAUGGGGUCGACGAAUUUCGCCGUAUCGGUUGGGGUACCGUUUACGAUCUAUCGAUUGUUCACGAUGUACCAACCCUCGUGAUUCUUGGAGCACAGGCUCAAAUACUUGGGGGUAUCGCACUGUUCAUGUCUGCACAUCUGAAUCCUCUCGCGGCUGCAGCGUCUUCAUUAUUGGCCAAAACAAUGAUUGUAGAGGGUGUUACAGACAUUCUUUUCGAACUAAUGAGUAAAGGAGAUGUAGAAUUCAGCGCGAGAAAUUACUUCGACAGAAAACUCGAGCUGUACGCAAAAACCAUUGGUUUCGGUGCCCUAUCAUCAUCCGCGAAAUCCGACGGAAAUCCACAAUCGUAUCUAAGCGGCGAUUUUUACCGUAAAAUAUUUGAAUUCUCGAUACCUACGAUUAAAGGGCAAAUAGACCUUCUUUUAAAAUCGAAAUCGAUCAAGGGUGGAGAUUAUUCUAAGUACAUCGAUUAUGCGAAAGAUAUCGAUCUAGCUAUACAUGUUUUCAAUAAGGCUAGAGAAGCCAAAAUCUUGGAUAUAUUUAAAUCUGAUUACCACGAUAAAAGGGAUAUCAAAAAAUUCAAUUGCAAUGUCUCACAGUAUCAAGCCAUGGCCGAUCUCACAGAGCUAGCAAUGUCCUUGGAAAAUGUGAAUGAAUUUGUCGAACCCACUGACGAUAUCCUCGGAGAAUGUCUCCGGGCAUACUCCGCAAAGUUCAUUUCAAUACCGACCGAAACACCGAUAACAUAUGAAAGAGGUGGUGACACUAUCAUUGUCGGAGGUGUCUACACUAACAGAUUGUACAACAGGUGUCAGGAACUGUUAACAAAAAUUGAACUAGAGUCGGACGAGUAUGAUGACGCUGAAGAAGGAGACGAAUCGGCCGAGAGGUCAAACUCAAGUAGUGGCAACGGAAAUCAACAAAGUCAAACUCACAGAGAUCAUGGAGAACAAGGCAGAAGCAAUAGUCAAACCGAAGGUGGCUCUGGAGAUCGAGAUCGUGACAAUAGCAGCAAUAACAAUUAUAACAAUAACAAUAACAACAACAACAACAACAACAACAAUAGAAGGAAUGGAUGUCAAGGUCGUGGUGAAGGGGGCGAGAAAUACGCGUUUUUAAUACGAAGAUUGAAGUUAGCGGCUAAAAAACUUUUGAAAUAUCUUGCUAGGGUGCGUCCAAAUAUCGUUGGAGGAAGUUAUGGUGAAUUAGAUGGAGUCUAUAAAGGGGGUAGAAAAAAUAUAAUUGAGAUAAAUCAUGUACCGCCAAAAUGUAUUUACAGAGGGACUGAUUAUGGUAACAUUCCUAUAGACAGAAUGCCUGCGAUUGCAAUGCGAAUAGAAGAUCAUAGAGGAAUUGGAAGGAAAUCCGCUCAAUUACGAGCUCAGCUCGCAGGAUGCAUUUCUACAGGAAAUAGCGCACUUUCUAGGGAAUGGGCGAGAAGAUUAGGAAGGAUUUUAAGAGAGCAGGGUUUUUGGAGGGUUCUUGAAGAGGAAAUUAGUAUAAUUUUGAGCACUAUUGAAUACCCUAGAGUAAAUGGUCAGGCUUGGGUCGAUUAUAUCGACGGUAUUUUAGAGAUGCUCAGGUACUGCAGGGACGUGGAUGUCCCAGGAGCGCCUAAUAUACCAGGAGUUCCUCGUGGAAGACUCAUAUCCAAUGAACAAUACGAAUGGAUAGUUAGAAAUUUAAGAUUGGAACAAUAUAAAGAAAAUUAUAUUCGUUUCCAACAGGCACAUCGCGAAGACGAUGAAAUAGAUGAAUUCGAAUCAGACGAGGAGUAAUUACAUAUACGCAGAAAAACGUCAGUACGCAGCGCAAUCAUUGUUGAUUAUUUAUACGAAUGGUUUUUCCUAACAUUACCUUGUUUAAUAAUAUACAUACAUAUAUAUAUAUAUAUAUAUAUAUACAUAUACCUAAUUAUAACUAUACUUAUACGUAUCAUAUUUCAAACAAUUCAAUUGUGUCAAAUACAGUACGUACAAUAAAGAGCAGAUAAUAUUUUAUAUCGAUUGUAAUAUAUUUAUGCAAUGAACCUAAGUUCUUUUGAUUGAGCCUUUAUUCAUCAACACUAAUCUGUAACAAAGUUUGUAUGAACGCCAAUAAACUUUUAACAAAAUCCAAACUAAUCGUGUCCAAAUCUGUGGAAUAAAAAAAUUCCUCCAAGAACCAUCUCUGAAAUAGAAAUAUUUUUUGUCUACCAUACAAAAAUAGCUUUUCGAUCCAGCGGUAAUCGUAAAUAGUAACUAUGCAGUGAAAAUUAGAUUUUGCUGCAACUGAUUAUCGAGUAUUCAGUGAUCAAAACAAUUAAGAGGCCGCAACAUAAAAAUUGAAAAAAAAAAUCUCCCUCCUCGAGCGGUCUUUGUCGAUCGUAUGCGGCGGGUACGGCGCAGCAUCCCGCCCAGAUCAAUGCUAUCCUGAAUAGCGCACGGUUACAUAGGGCGGGGAUUCAUUUGAUCAAGCCCCGUACAUGAGAAGCGCGUUUGAACUGAUUGAGGGUGCAGAGGACAUAUGAACUCAUCGGGUAUGACCCUGACACGGUCAGACAGAGAAAAACUGGAGUCUAAAAUGGGAAAAUUUA